CCUACGGGGGGCUGCAGUGGGGAAUAUUGGACAAUGGGGGGAACCCUGAUCCAGCCAUGCCGCGUGUGUGAAGAAGGCCCUCGGGUUGUAAAGCACUUUCAGUGAGGAAGAACGCCUGGUGGUUAAUACCCAUCAGGAAAGACAUCACUCACAGAAGAAGCACCGGCUAACUCCGUGCCAGCAGCCGCGGUAAUACGGAGGGUGCGAGCGUUAAUCGGAAUUACUGGGCGUAAAGCGCGCGUAGGUGGCUUGAUAAGCCGGUUGUGAAAGCCCCGGGCUCAACCUGGGAACGGCAUCCGGAACUGUCAAGCUAGAGUGCAGGAGAGGAAGGUAGAAUUCCCGGUGUAGCGGUGAAAUGCGUAGAGAUCGGGAGGAAUACCAGUGGCGAAGGCGGCCUUCUGGACUGACACUGACACUGAGGUGCGAAAGCGUGGGUGGCAAACAGGAUUAGAUACCCUAGUAGUC
rnacentral:rRNA from 1 species